AGUGAACGCUGGCGGUAUGCCUAACACAUGCAAGUCGAACGGCAGCACAGUAAGAGCUUGCUCUUACGGGUGGCGAGUGGCGGACGGGUGAGGAAUACAUCUGAAUCUACUUUUUCGUGGGGGAUAACGUAGGGAAACUUACGCUAAUACCUCAUACGCCCUACGGGUGAAAGCAGGGGAUCUUCGUACCUUGCGCGAUUGAAUGAGCCGAUGUCGGAUUAGCUAGUUGGCGGGGUAGAGGCCCACCAAGGCGACGAUCCGUAGCUGGUCUGAGAGGAUGAUCAGCCACACUGGAACGGAGACACGGUCCAGACUCCUACGGGAGGAAGCAGUGGGGAAUAUUGGACAAUGGGCGCAAGCCUGAUCCAGCCAUACCGCGUGGGUGAAGAAGGCGUUCGGGUUGUAAAGCCCUUUUGUUGGGAAAGAAAAGCAGCAGGUUAAUACCCCGCUGUUCUGACGGUACCCAAAGAAUAAGCACCGGCUAACUUCGUG
rnacentral:rRNA from 1 species